CUAUGGUUUUUUUAACCAUGGCGGAAGGAG
rnacentral:ncRNA from 1 species